rnacentral:rRNA from 1 species
UUUGGUUAAGUUUAGAAGGGCGCACGGGUGGAUUGCCUUGACACUAGGAGUCGAUGAAGGACGGGACUUUAACGCCGAUAUGCUUCGGGGAGCUGUAAGUAAGCUUUGAUCCGAAGAUUUCCGAAUGGGGAAACCCACCAUACGUAAUGCGUAUGGUAUUCCUUAUCUGAAUACAUAGGGUAAGGAAGGACAGACCCAGGGAAACUGAAACAUCUAAGUACCUGGAAGAAGAGGAAAGCAAAUGCGAUUUCCUGAGUAAGCGGCGAGCGAAACGGAACAUAGCCCAACCAAGAGGGCUUGCCUCUUGGGGUUUGUAGGACAUCUAUACGGAUUACAAGGAACGAGGUUAGACGAAGCGACCUGGAAAGGUCGUCGUAGAGGGUAACAACCCCGUAGUUCGAAACUUCGUUUCUUCUUGAAUGUUAUCCUGAGUACGGCGGAACACGUGAAAUUCCGUCGGAAUCUGGGGACCAUCUCCCAAGGCUAAAUACUCCCUAGUGAUCGAUAGUGAACCAGUACCUGUGAGGGAAAGGUGAAAAAGCACCCCGGAAGGGGAGUGAAAGAGAUUCUGGAAACCGUGUGCUACAAAUAGUCAGAGCCCGUUAACGGGUGAUGCGUUGCCUUUUGGUAGAAUGAACGGCCGAGUUACGAUCCCGUGCGAGGUUAAGCUGAAGAGCGAGGCCGCAGCAAGCGAGUCUGAAUUAGGGCGUUUAGUACGUGUCGUAGACCCGAAACCAGGUGAUCUACCCAUGUCCAGGUGAAGUUUCAGGUAACCAACUGAAUGGAGCCCGAACCCACGCACGUUUUGAAAAGUCGGGGAUGAGGUGUGGGUAGCGGAGAAAUUCCAAUCGAACCUGGUGGAGAUAAAGCUGGUUCUCCCGAAUAGCUUUAGGGCUAGCCUUAAGUGUAAGAGUCUUGGAGGUAGAGCACUUGAUUGGACUAGGGGUCCUCAUCGGAUACGAAUUCAGUCAAAAACUUCGAAUGCCAAUGACUUUAUCCUAGGAGUUCAGACUGCGAGUGAUAAGAUCCUUAGUCAAAAGGGAAACAGCCCAGACCGCCAGCUAAGGUCCAAAGUGUUAUUAAGUGGGGAAAAGGAUGGUGGAGUUGCUUAGACAAUAGGAUGUGGCUUAGAAGCAGCCACCAUUUUAAAGAGUGCGUAAUAGCUCACUAGUCGAGUGACUCUGCGCACGAAAAAUGUACCGGGGCUAAAUACACCACCGAAAGCUGCGGAUUGAUACCAAUGGUAAUCAGUGGUAGGGAGGUUCUAAGGACAGUGAAGUCAGACCGUAAGGACUGGGUGUGAGUCUAGAAGUGAAUGCCGGUUAUGAGUAGCGAAAGACGGUGAGAAUCCCGUCACCGAAUGCCUAAGGUUUCCUGAGGAAGGCUCGUCCGCUCAGUUAGUCAGGAACCUAAAGCCGAGGUCCGACCAGGCGAGCGCGCAUGGACAACAGGUUGAUAUUCCUGUACCCACCUCUUAUCGUUUGAGCAAUGGAGGACGCAGAGGAUAGAAAGAAGCGUGCGAUUGGUUGUGCACGUCCAAGCAGUGAGGCUGUAAGUAGGCAAAUCCGCUUUAUCAUAAAGGCUGAGGCUGUGAUGGGGAAGCUUCCUUAUGGGAGCGAAGUUCUUGAUUCCCCGCCUGCCAAGAAAAGCUUUCUAGCGAGGAUAAAAGGGUGCCUGUACCGCAAACCGACACAGGUAGGCGAGAGGAAUCCUAAGGUGUGCGAGAGCAACUCUGCGUUAAGGAACUCGGCAAAAAUGACCCCGUAACUUCGGGAGAAGGGGGCUUUCUAACGGAAAGCCGCAGUGAAUAGGCCAAGCGACUGUUAGCAAAAAACACAGCUCUCUUGCGAAGCCGUAAGGCGAAGUAUAGGGGGUGACACCUGCCCGGUGCUGGAAGGUUAAGGAGAGGGGUUAGCGUAGCGAAGCUUAACUGAAGCCCAGGUAAACGGCGGCCGUAACUAUAACGGUCCUAAGGUUAGCGAAAUUCCCUUGUCGGGUAAGUUCCGACCGCACGAAAGGCUGGUUGUACGAUUUGGCACUGUCUCAACCAGAGACUCGUGAAAUUAUAGUACCGUGAAGAUGCAGGUUACCCGCGACAGGACGGGAAAGACCCCGUUUGGAGCUUUACUGUAGCCUGAUAUUGAAUUUUGGUACAGUUUGUACAAGGAUAGGCGGGAGCCAUGAAACGGAGCGCCUAGGCUUCGGUGGAGGGCGCUGGGUGGGAUACCCGCCCUGAUUGUAUUUGAAAUUCUAACCUACGGGGUCUUAUCGCCGAGACAGUGUCAGGUGGGCAGUUGGCUGGGGCGGUCGCUCCUAAAGUUGUUAACGGAAGCGCCCAAAGGUUCCCUCAUCAGAAUGGUUGGAAAUCAUUCGUGUAGGAGUGCAAAGGGCAUAAGGGAGCUUUGACUGCGAGACCUACAAGUCGAGCGGCGACGAAAGUCGGGCUUAGUGAUCCGGUGGUUCCGCAUGGAAGGGGCCAUCGCUCAAACGGAAUAAAAGCUACCCCGGAUAAACCAGGCUUAUCUCCCCAAGAGUCCACAUCGACGGGGAGGUUGGCACCUCGAUGUCUGUGCUCAUCGCAUCCUGGGCUGUAGUCGAGUCCCAAGGGUUGGGCUGUUCGCCCAUUAAAGCGUACGCUGAGCUGGGUUCAGAACGUCGUGUGAGACAGUUCGGUCCCUAUCCGUCGUUUGGCGGCGUAGGAAUUUUGAGAGGAGCUUCCUAGUACGAGAGGACCGGGAUGGACGCCACCGCUGGUGUACCAGUUGUUCUGCCAAGGCAUAGCUGGGUAGCUAUUGUGCGGUAAGGGAUAAGUGCUGAAAGCAUCUUAAGCAUGAAGCCCCCCUUCAAGAUGAGAUUCCCAUAGCGUAAGCUAGUAAGUCAUCCCUGAAAGAUGAUCAGGUUGAUAGGUUCGAGGUGGAAGCAUGGCUACUGUGGAGCUGACAAUACUAAUAGAUCGAGGACUUAAACCAGA